rnacentral:rRNA from 2 species
UAGGGAAUCUUCCACAAUGGGCGCAAGCCUGAUGGAGCAACGCCGCGUGUGUGAUGAAGGCUUUCGGGUCGUAAAGCACUGUUGUAUGGGAAGAAAUGCUAAAAUAGGGAAUGAUUUUAGUUUGACGGUACCAUACCAGAAAGGGACGGCUAAAUACGUGCCAGCAGCCGCGGUAAUACGUAUGUCCCGAGCGUUAUCCGGAUUUAUUGGGCGUAAAGCGAGCGCAGACGGUUGAUUAAGUCUGAUGUGAAAGCCCGGAGCUCAACUCCGGAAUGGCAUUGGAAACUGGUUAACUUGAGUGUUGUAGAGGUAAGUGGAACUCCAUGUGUAGCGGUGGAAUGCGUAGAUAUAUGGAAGAACACCAGUGGCGAAGGCGGCUUACUGGACAACAACUGACGUUGAGGCUCGAAAGUGUGGGUAGCAAACAGG